ACGGGGUUUCACUACCCAUUUACGUCCAAGCCCAUUUAAAUUUUCUGUCCAUUUAGAGCCCGUUUAAGUAAUAAUAUUAAAUGGGCUUCGCCGGGUUUGUCCACCUUUGUCCAUUUAAGUAACAGGUUUUAAUGAAAAUAAUUGGGCAGCCCGUUAAGCCCGUUUAACUUUUUUUCUCCUCUCCUGUAAACGACGUCGUUUCUGGUGUUACAUCUCUAACCUAUUUUUUUUGGGGAUCGUUCUUCACUUCUCUGCCUCCUUUCGAGAUAUCAAACUGCUCUUUCUAGAGUCGCUCUUCACUUCUCUGCCUCUUCUCGAGAUAUCAAACUAAUCUUUUUGGAAUCGUUCUUCUUCACUCUCUCUUCCUCGCAUCUAUUCACGGUCAAGGGGAGGGGAUGAUGGUUUUGUAGCCGUUCGUUUGUAGUGGAAGAAUCGGAGAGGAUCGUGGCUUCGAUCAUCUCAAGGGAUGGACUUUGAAUCUGUGCACACUAUGGCGCUUCUUGAAGCUCAACGUGAAUACAUGGAUAUAGGAAUGUCCAAACGGGCUACCCGGCCUGUUUACGUCCAAGCCCAUAUAUGUUCAAACUCAUUUAAUAGAUGUCCAUUUAAAGUCCGUUUAAACUAAACCCAUUUAAAACCCAUUUAUAUAAGCCCAUUUAACAUCAAACCCAUUUAACGCCCGUUAAAAGCCAUUUUACUUUAAAAAAAAAUGAACAUAACCUAUCUGCAUCAUAAAAUGAAUGAAACCCGAAACUUGUCAUAUAAAACAUAAUUGAAACAUGAACCUGUCAAACUACAUUGUUUGUUUCAGCUAAAAACUACACUGUUUUGUUUCAGCUAAAAACUCAAAGUUUACAAAUCACAAAUCACAACAUAACUCAAAUAUAAAGUUCUACUUCACAGCAAGUGUCCAUAAGUUACUCUUUUCCUUCUUGAACUACCAGGACCUGUCCAUGAUUAAAACAUAACCUAUCAGUCUAUCAUUAUAUAUUUUUAUCAAACUAUUUAUAAACUAAUGUAAAACAUAGCCAGAACAUUAUAUACCAUCCAUCAAGUAUAUCAUUUUUUUUAUGUGAAGACUCCACUCCAGAACUACUUGCUUUCUUCUUAUCAUCUUCAUUUUAAUCAAAAAGAUCUUCAAUGGCACCUAUAAAUCAUUAUAUGAAUUAGUUUUAAGAAAAAUAUUAGUCAUAAAAUUACUUUAAGCUUUACCUUUGUACUCUGCAAAACCGCAACCAAUUCCUAGUGCAAAGAAGAGCUUGGACAUUUUUAGGCAAGAGACGGUUUCGGUAAGGAGUUAAAACCCGGGAUCCAAUGCUAAAAGCAGACUCAGAAGCUAUGGUGGUGAUCGGAAUGCUGUGGAUGUCACGUGCCAUAGAUGCUAAAUCUCCAAACCGGUGUUGAUUCUCUUUCCAAUAGUUCAAGACAUCGCCAAAUCCUUGUUAACCCUUCUAUUUAGCCUUGGCUCUCCCAAAUAGAUGUCCAAAUGUAUCUUUGGGUCGCUAGCUCCACCUCCAAUGCUCUUUUCCAACUCAAAGAAAUCCUUCAAUAUGAAAACUUAUCAGAUAAACAAUUUCAAGAUAAUGAAUACUAAGAUUAUUUAAAAUUAUGUUAAUUUACUUACAUUAUCAUAGUCAUCUUCAAGUGGAGAUUCUGUGACUAUCUCUUGUGGAGUUGGAGUAAGUGAAACACCUAAAGAACUUGGCUGAGACCGUUUCUGAUAGUCUUUGUAGAGUGAAGACAAACUUUCCUUGAGUUCUUCAAUCUUUGAACUUGAAGUAGAAGGAUCCAAUUCAUUAUAGGCAGCUUCAAGCAUUUCAAUCUUUAUUCUUGGAUCUAAAACUACUGCCAUAGCCAAGAUUACACUGUAACUUUUCCAGUAUUUAUCAAACUUAACUUGCAUGUCUCUAGCCAUUUCUCUCACUCCAUCAUCAUCACAAACUGCAUAUGUCUUCAAUAACAGCUGUAUUCUCCAUACUUGGGUGAAGUAGACAUUAGAAGUAGGAUAUUUUGAACCCGAAAAGUAAGUUGUAAUAGCACUGAAUGGCUUCAGAAAGGCACAUAUUAUUUCCCCCUGAAGUAUAAGACGUUGAUCGGUAUAUUUGACUUGGCACAUCUUUUUUCUAAAUAAAGUAAUUAUAAAUUGUUAACAUAAUUAAAACAAAACUUUUUACUUCCGACAAAUUUCAAAAUAAUAAAAAAUGUAGACCCACCUGAUGCUGACGUGGCAACAAGGGAGAGCCCAAACUCCCUCAUUAAUGGGAUUUGUGUUGUUUUGUGCUUGGCCUUUUUGAUCGGUAUAUUUGACUUGGCACAUCUUUUUUCUAAAUAAAGUAAUUAUAAAUUGUUAACAUAAUUAAAACAAAACUUUUUACUUCCGACAAAUUUCAAAAUAAUAAAAAAUGUUGGACACACCUGAUGCUGACGUGGAAACAAGGGAGAGCCCCAACUCCCUCAUUAUAAUAUAGAUUCAUCGACAUACAAAACUUCAAAUCUAAUUAUUAGAAACACCAAAAAUUUACAAAACGCCCGCUCCAGAGGUUUCAGAAACUUCUCACUCUAAUCAUAUAUAAAUGCUAUCACAUCCCAUCAACAGAUUGUGUAGGAAGAAGAAGUCAAUCGAGUAUAUAUCAUGUUAAGAAGUGUUGAAAAGUCGUAGAAGAGCAAGAUUCUUCAUGAGGUCAAGAUCCUUCAGUCGCUAAUCAUCCAAAGUACUCAAGUUCUGCAUAUGGUAAAGACUUAGAGAUUAUCUAGACAAUUAUCUGAUUUAAUUGUUAUCUUUGUGCUCAGGUAAAAAAAUUCUUCUCACAUGUGGUUAGUCCUGGAAUAUUGUGUUCGAGCUGAUCUAGUACAUUGUUACAUCAUGUAUUGAUUGUUCUUAUUUUUGUUAGUUAACAGGUUUUCUGAAAUUCACUUCUUUUGCAGGACUCUAAUUUGCCAAAAGAUUUAGCAUAUGUUGUGCCUGUGAUGUUGUCGUAGCCUUGCUGUAAUAUCUUAAAAAAAUUAUACUUAGAUUAGGACGAACAGGUAAUGCUGUGUUUUCAACCUUUUCAGGCUUUCUAAAUCAGUGUCACUAAUUCCCACUCUUACAUGAGAACUUUAAGAAACAGGACCUGAUGGCCUCGACAUAACACUUUGUGCUUUUAGCAGCCUUUCUAUCUUUGUUUUAGUUUGAUCUUCAAGACUUAUUAACUUAUGAUAUCUCUAUUUUAAAUCUCAACAAAAAAUUUCCGAGUGUAUCUAGAGAAUUGAGAGAUGCAUUGGUUAGGAACAUUAGGAGAAGAAGGACACCACAACCACUGAAGAUUCGUCCUAAUAUUGAGUUACUUGUGGUUUCAGGUUUAUGAAGUUCUACACAUCAAGGUGUCUGGCUGUAACAAUAUAGUUGCAGGAAGCCAUGAAGAAUGCAGUGAUGGCUGUCUGGUCAAUAUCAAGUGUGUUUAUCCACCACUUUACAUUUUAACAGCGCAGACCCUUGACAAUUACUCUGUUGGAUUUGUCCAUUUUUGGUGCGGAUGAAGGUAAAAGCUACAACGAGAAUCACGUAGUGAUAAUGAAAGCAAAUCCUUGGUUCAGCUCUUGCGUGUAACAAUCACAAAUAAAUCUGGUGCCCUAUGAGUUUUACAAUCAAAGCAUACGUUGCUGCAAUAGAGAAAGAAAAGGGGAGAUGAGGGAAGUGAAGAAGACACUGAAAUGGAAGAAGUUGAAAUUGAUGGAGGUAGCUUAUUUAAUGAAUGACCAAAAGCCGAAGUAUGUCAAUAGUUUUGUUUUCUUCUGCGCAAAGCAUCUGUUUGUCCCAAGAGGGUUUUAUAGUAACAGAAACAUAUCUUAUACAAAACAAGUUUUUCACAUGGA